rnacentral:rRNA from 1 species
UACGUAGGGGGCGAGCGUUGUCCGGAGUUACUGGGCGUAAAGCGCUUGCAGGCGGUCCACCAAGUUUGGGGUGACAGUUGCCGACUUAAUCGGCAAAGUGCCUCAAAGACUGGCGGACUUGAGGGCCACAGAGGGACAUGGAACUCCAGGUGUAGUGGUGAAAUGCGUAGAUAUCUGGAAGAACACCAAAGGCGAAGGCAGUGUCCUGGGUGGUCGCUGACGCUGAGAGGCGAAAGCCAGGGGAGCGAACGGG